rnacentral:rRNA from 1 species
ACUCAAAUGAAUAGACGGGGGCCCGCACAAGCGGUGGAGCAUGUGGAUUAAUUCGUCACUAACCGAAGAACCUUACCCAGGCUUGACAUCGCGUGUAACUCUGUGAAAGCAGAGCCCUUCCGCAAGGAAGCACAAAGACAGGUGUUGCAUGGCUGUCGUCAGCUCGUGUCGUGAGAUGUUGGGUUAAGUCCCGCAACGAGCGCAACCCUCACCGUAUGUUGCCAGCGUAAAGUCGGGAACUCUUACGGAACUGCCCGUGCAAGCGGGAGGAAGGUGGGGAUGACGUCAAGUCGGCAUGGCCCUUACGCCUGGGGCUUCACACAUGCUACAAUGGGCAGCAACAGACGGCUCCGAGACCGCGAGGUGGAGGGAAUCCGAGAAAUCUGUCCUCAGUUCGGAUUGCAGGCUGCAACUCGCCUGCAUGAAGCUGGAAUCGCUAGUAACCGCAGGUCAGCUAAACUGCGGUGAAUACGUUCCCGGGCCUUGUACACACCGCCCGU